GAUGAACGCUGGCGGCGUGCCUAAUACAUGCAAGUCGAGCGAACAGACGAGGAGCUUGCUCCUCUGACGUUAGCGGCGGACGGGUGAGUAACACGUGGAUAACCUACCUAUAAGACUGGGAUAACUUCGGGAAACCGGAGCUAAUACCGGAUAAUAUAUUGAACCGCAUGGUUCAAUAGUGAAAGACGGUUUUGCUGUCACUUAUAGAUGGAUCCGCGCCGCAUUAGCUAGUUGGUAAGGUAACGGCUUACCAAGGCGGCGAUGCGUAGCCGACCUGAGAGGGUGAUCGACCACACUGGAACUGAGACACGGUCCAGACUCCUACGGGAGGCAGCAGUAGGGAAUCUUCCGCAAUGGGCGAAAGCCUGACGGAGCAACGCCGCGUGAGUGAUGAAGGUCUUCGGAUCGUAAAACUCUGUUAUUAGGGAAGAACAAAUGUGUAAGUAACUAUGCACGUCUUGACGGUACCUAAUCAGAAAGCCACGGCUAACUACGUG
rnacentral:rRNA from 1 species